UAAGCGGAGGAAAAGAAACUAACAAGGAUUCCCCUAGUAACUGCGAGUGAAGCGGGAAAAGCUCAAAUUUAAAAUCUGGCGGUCUUUGGCCAUCCGAGUUGUAAUUUAGAGAAGCGUCUUCCGCGCCGGACCGUGCACAAGUCUCCUGGAAUGGAGCGUCAUAGAGGGUGAGAAUCCCGUCUUUGGCACGGAUGCCUGGUGCUUCUGUGAUGCGCUCUCGAAGAGUCGAGUUGUUUGGGAAUGCAGCUCAAAAUGGGUGGUGAACUCCAUCUAAAGCUAAAUAUUGGCGAGAGACCGAUAGCGAACAAGUACCGUGAGGGAAAGAUGAAAAGCACUUUGGAAAGAGAGUGAAACAGUACGUGAAAUUGUUGAAAGGGAAACGCUUGAAGUCAGUCGCGUCGUCCGAGACUCAGCCUUGCCUUGGCUCGGUGUAUUUCUCGGCACGACGGGUCAGCAUCAAUUUUGCCCCUCGGAUAAUGGCAAGGGAAAGGUGGCACCUUUACGGGUGCGUUAUAGUCUCCUGUCGCAUGCGAGGGGUGGGAUUGAGGAACUCAGCACGCACCUCGGUGUCGGGGCNUUGGCCCANNUCACGUGCUUAGGAUGCUGGCGUAAUGGCUUUAAACGACC
rnacentral:rRNA from 1 species